UUGUCUCAGAGUCCUUGAGUGACUCAGUUUAGACGAGUGGCCAGCUCUAGAAAGAGUCCUGGUGGAUCUGAACGUCUUCCAUUUAUAGAUGAUGGAGGCAUCUGUGCUCAUUAGGACCUUCAAAGCAGCAGAAAUGUUUCUGUACAUUCCCCAGAUCUAUGUCUCGAGCCAAUCCUGUUUCAGAGAUCUACAGACGAUUCCUUUG